UACGUAGGGGGCUAGCGUUGUCCGGAAUCAUUGGGCGUAAAGCGCGCGUAGGCGGCCCGGUAAGUCCGUUGUGAAAGUCAAAGGCUCAACCUUUGAAUGCCGAUGGAUACUGCCGGGCUCGAGUCCGGAAGAGGCGAGUGGAAUUCCUGGUGUAGCGGUGGAAUGCGCAGAUAUCAGGAGGAACACCAAUAGCGAAGGCAGCUCGCUGGGACGGUACUGACGCUGAGACGCGAAAGCGUGGGGAGCGAACAGG
rnacentral:rRNA from 1 species